GGAACCUGGCUGGAGGGGCGGGGCCUGGCUGGAGAGAGGUGCCUGUGAGGGACUCUGGACCAGCCCUUCAGGAGAUGGCUUCUGGCCUGCCAACUGCUGCUGCUUCUGCUGUGAACUGUGUCCUCUGUUGACCUGGGGCCUGCCCACCACGUGAAUGGCUACAAUGUGGCCUUAACCAUGGUGGUCAUUCUGUGAAGGUCACUGUUGUCUCCCAGGGACUGGCCAUUAUGGCAAAGGUCCUGGUGACCUGGGGGAGAGGCAGCUGGGCCCAUGCUGGUGAGGCAGAGAGCUGGGGUUGCCGGGACAGCCCUUACCCUCCAGUGUUGGGGGAGAAACAUUUCUUUGAGCGGGAACUUGACAUCCCACUGUCCUCGCUGCGUUUGGCACAUUUAGGACCUCAGAUCCGUGGGUGGUACACAUGUAAGAGUAAUUUGUACCGGAUCCCUGGGACCUGCCUGGUGUCAGCCUCUGUGCAGCUCCACCUGGAGGGUCUGGUGAGUGUUUGAUGGCCUUAUUAUUUGCUUCAUUUUGCUUCUGGGGUAGGGGUGGGGCCUGGUUCCCCAUCAGGGGCUGUUGCUGGCCUGACUCAGGGCUGAGCCAUGAAGUCCAGGCUGAUGGAUGUCUCUGUGACAAGGAUCGUGUGCUGGGGUCAUGGCCCAGGUAACAGGUGAGGCAGGGUGGGGGUCAGGGUGUCAGGGGUCUGGGGUCAGGGUGUCAAUGAUGCGUGUGUCUGUCUAGGGAAUCAGUCUGGACUCCUUUGUUUGUUGAAGCAAGAGGACAAAAAUCCUUUGUCAAGUCACAUGUUCUAAAUUUUGGUUCAGACGGCGAGCUCAGUAGACCACAGAGCAGGGUGGAAGUGGGUAAUGCGGGCAGGGACAGGAAAGGCCCGUGUCAGGCGGUCCCAGCUUGUCUGCUCCUGAUUUCCCUUCCCUGUGGUGGGUAUAUUGGGGUUCCGGAGGGCAGGUGUCAUCUCCUCCUCCACGGAAUAGACAGGAAACCUCUGUCCUGGGAGCCUGACUUGUCCAAGGUCACUUGGCUGUACUGGAGGUUUUCAAUUAUGGUUCUGUAAAGCCCAAAGUUCAUGACUUCCUCCCCCCUGCUGGGAUAAGUCUCGAGGAGACCACUGUGUGGUCCAAGGUGGGGUGUGCGUGGAGCGUCUGAGGCCCUGGAAAUCCCGCAGCUGGAGA
ensembl:lncRNA